rnacentral:rRNA from 1 species
UACGUAGGUGACCAGCGUUGUCCGGAUUUACUGGGCGUAAAGAGCGCGCAGGCGGUCGUUCAAGUCGAGUGUGAAAGCCCCGGCUCAACUGGGAGGGUCACUCGAUACUGAUCGACUUGAAGGCAGGAGAGGGAAGCGGAAUUCCCGGUGUAGUGGUGAAAUGCGUAGAUAUCGGGAGGAACACCAGUGGCGAAGGCGGCUUCCUGGCCUGUUCUUGACGCUGAGGCGCGAAAGCUAGGGAGCAAACGGG